rnacentral:rRNA from 1 species
CCUACGGGAGGCAGCAGUGAGGAAUUUUCCGCAAUGGGCGAAAGCCUGACGGAGCAAUACCGCGUGAGGGAUGAAGGAUUUUGGUCUGUAAACCUCUUUUCUCAAGAAAGAAGUUCUGACGGUACUUGAGGAAUAAGCAUCGGCUAACUCCGUGCCAGCAGCCGCGGUAAUACGGGGGAUGCAAGCGUUAUCCGGAAUGAUUGGGCGUAAAGCGCCUGUAGGUUGUUUAUUAAGUCCGUUGUUAAAGCCUAGGGCUCAACCCUAGAAAAGCAAUGGAAACUAGUAGACUAGAGUAUGGCAGGGGUAGAGGGAAUUUCUAGUGUAGCGGUGAAAUGCGUAGAUAUUAGAAAGAACACCGGUGGCGAAAGCGCUCUACUGGACCAUUACUGACACUCAGAGGCGAAAGCUAGGGUAGCAAAAGGGAUUAGAUACCCCUGUAGUCCUAGCCGUAAACGAUGGAUACUAGAUGUUGUGCAUUAUGUACAGUAUCGUAGCUAACGCGUUAAGUAUCCCGCCUGGGGAGUACGCUCGCAAGGGUGAAACUCAAAAGGAAUUGACGG